rnacentral:piRNA from 1 species
UCAGAGAAGAUGUCUUUAUGCCCAAAC